GAUGAACGCUGGCGGCGUGCCUAAUACAUGCAAGUCGAGCGAACAGACGAGGCUCUUGCUCCUCUGACGUUAGCGGCGGACGGGUGAUUAACACGUGGAUAACCUACCUAUAAGACUGGGAUAACUUCGGGAAACCGGAUCUAAUACCGGAUAAUAUAUUGAACCGCAUGGUUCAAUAGUGAAAGACGGUUUUGCUGUCACUUAUAGAUGUAUCCUCGCCGCAUUAGCUAGUUGGUAGGGUAACGGCUUACCAAGGCAACGAUGCGUAGCCGACCUGAGAGGAUGAUCAGCCACACUGGGACUGAGACACGGUCCAGACUCCUACGGGAGGCAGCAGUAGGGAAUCUUCCGCAAUGGGCGAAAGCCUGACGGAGCAACGCCGCGUGAGUGAUGAAGGUCUUCGGAUCGUAUAACUCUGUUAUUAGGGAAGAACAAAUGUGUAAGUAACUAUGCACGUCUUGACGGUACCAAAUCAGAAAGCCACGGCUAACUACGUG
rnacentral:rRNA from 1 species